GGAAAGGAACGCCCGGCAGGUACCAGGAUUGCCUGCAUAACGCUCCGGAAAAGGGAUGCUGACGGAAUUGGUGAAGGGGCAGCUGAUGAGGGUGGUCCCUCAAGAUAAUUUCUCUGGCUGCUAAGGAGUGCCAUCCAUUCCUCUGCACUAUUAGAGGAACCUGAUUGGCAACAAUGCCUUUCUUGCAACUCUCAAGCUCAAAGUGUUACAGAAGCCCGCACCAUAGAAAUGGAGUCGGCAGAAGCAGCCACCACCCCUCUACCAUCGAUGGAGGAACGGAUCCUCCAUCAGACCACCGUUCUCCAUCGGAUUGGGUCAGCCAUGGACCAGAUGAUGGAGAGAAUGGAUCGAUGGGAGAGGAGUGGUCUCCACCCUUCACCUCCGGUUCACCCGACGAGCUCACCUCCUCCACUCCCUUCCCCGUC
rnacentral:lncRNA from 1 species